rnacentral:piRNA from 1 species
UACAGGGCUACGUUUUGUGCUGUCACUGGA